AGGAGCAAAAACACAAAACAUGCUUCUCUCUACAAACACGGGGAAAAGACAAAAGGUCAGACUGUGUGAUCAUAAAGCCUACCAGAAGGGUUCUCAAUGACCCCAGACAGCAAGCUUCAAGUCCUUUGUAGCUUAUUCUUACCUCCAUAGUUUUAAAGGGGGUAUUAAUGGAAUAAACACUAAAAUCUGAAUUCUUGAUAAUGUUGAGGUGUCAAAGUGUAAAAACUAUGAUGUGAAAAUGAAAGAUGCUUUACUACUCUAUUUUCAUCUGUAAAUAGGCAAACCAAUAUUCACUUCUUGGCAUUUGUUAAGAGAAUUUUUGCCUCUGGUUUUGAGCAUCAAAAAUAUCAUGGGAGGUCAGAAAUAUAUUGAAUGAGACCUUCACCCUUUUGCAAACAUGAUAAUCUAUUUUAUAGAAGAUAAACAACAUCUGAGAAUGAUGUGUACUAUCACAUCUGUGUACGUGGAAUGAAAGCUGGAUGGUUUUAUUUGUAAGUGUCAAAAUGUGCCUUUACCCAGUUCUGUGAGGUGUAAUAAAAAUGUUCGGUUGAAAUGAAAGAAGAAAAGUUUGUGUUGACAAAAACAAACUGAAUGCAAAAGCAGUUAAAAGGAUAUUCCAGUAUAAAAUUAAUUUAGGGUCAAACACACCAUAACACAGAGUUAGACACCCCCCUCAAGAGAUGAAUGUUGACGACCUCUUACCUCUCUAGUUAUACCAACUUUAGUAACGACCACACGAUAGCAAUACACAGCGGUGUGAAGAGCCAUAAACAAACCUCAACCAAAAAGCCACUCUAUAGCCACAAAUAAUGCUCAGAACAGCACCUAACUUCAUCAACAGUACAUAUAGGGUCCUAGCCACAGUACUAGCCACCAAACAUCUUUUUUAGCUUUGCCUGGUUUCUUUAGCAAAGCGACUAAACAACUCACCCACUCUCUUCCAGCAGCCCUUGUUUGUAGCGAGACCUCAGGCCAGUCCAUUACGGACUACAGCGGGGUGACGCAGCUCAAAGAAGAACAUUUAUGAUCAUUACUUCAUCAUUUCCUUGAAGUAAUAAUCAUCAUAUUAGUCAUUUUGCACUGCAGACGCGGUAGUUCUUCUGCCUUAGCGUCUCGGUCUGAUUGCAUUUCCUUACAGUGGUAAAAACAGCAGAGCUAACAAUUUAACAUGAUCACUAGUGUCAGUUUCAGGUCUUACGUUACUUCGACAUAACUCUGAGCAGCGGGUACAACAAGUUGCAGAAAUCAGGCACAACUCGUCUAUAAGUGUGUGCAAAGUCAGUAAGGAGAUGAAGCAGGAAGGUACCUUAGCAAGAUUGGGUCAUUUACAGGACAAAUAAAGCUGAGGGUCUUCAGCAUAUCGAUGAAACUAAAUGAAAUAACGUAGUGUUUGAAAAUGUCAUCUGUAAGAGAACAGGAAAAGGGAAAUGAUACUGAAAACAGGAUGUAUUCAGGUGGCUCUGUAGCAAUAUCUGUGCUGUGUUGUGACAGAAACCUAAAUUAAAUUCCUGAAAAUAUUCCCGUUCAAGACUCAAGACUAUGAUUGUUUCUCGCGUCCCCCUUACACUGCAUAACAAAUGACCCAGGGUUAAGCAUAAAGUCGGCCCAACUUCCAGACCAGUCAUGUGACUCCAAAAUGUCAGUGUAUGCUCGAUUUUAGUGACCAACCUUUUUGCUAAAAUGUCUAAAAAAAUAUCCAAAACUUAUUAUCAAAUUUCCUCCUGAGGAUAAACAAAGUUCUUCAUAUCUUGUCUUAUCAGCUUGUACUAAAAGUUAACAACAAGCGUUUAGAUGUAUGAUCGCCACCUGCUGUGCUGAGCAUGAAUACACAAGCCUGCUACCUCAGCACAUUACAUCACUUAAAAUAAGUACACAUUUUUUUUUGACACUUUUUUUCGGGCAUACAUCCACAACACACUGCAAAUAACUCUGUCAUCAAUUUUGGGGUCUUUGAGAACCACCGAUCCAAAACUUAGGGAAGGAAUUUUGUGGAUUUAGAGUCUAGAUGAUGUUGAAGAUCCAGCAUACAAUAUUUCUUACAUAUUUUUGGAUAUGAGCCUUUAAUUUUUAUUAUGUUUUAAAGAAUAUAUCUAAGUCAGAUAUGGUGGAGGGUAUUGACUCAAUCAUUAUUAUUUUUUUGUUAUUGGCAUUCAUACAUGCAAGAGAUAAAAAUGAAUCAAUAAGAUCAGGACACAAAAAUCAACCCAGUUUUAUCCAAAUUCAAGAAAAAUAUUUUAAGUGCAACCUUGUUGAUCCAGCAGAGUUUCAGAAAUUAAGUAGAGAGAGAAUUUAAUAUUGUGCCUUUUUCAGUGUGAAGACUUUUAACAACUAGGUGCUGAAUAAACAGGACUGUCAUUUAUUGAUACUACACUCACAAAAAAACCUAUUUAAGGAGCUUCUUCCAAAAACAGACAUGAAUAAGAAAUGAAAUACCAAAUUUAAGUGUUGCUCAUUAUCUGUGUUACUCAGCUGCCAUUCUGUCAGCUCAUCUGUACAAUGUUGUUUGUAAUUGUGAAAGGUUUUAUAAAUUACCAGCCUGUUUAUUAUGAUUAUAGAAGACUCUUAAAAAGGCUGCUGGGAUGUGAAGUGAAGCAAACUGUGGGAGCAAAAGGAAGAGUGACAGAUUUAUUAAGCGAGGCUGUGGGGGAAAUCUAUACUCUUCUUGUCUGUCUGAUUUUUAGGAGCUCAUGGCUCUAAGCUCAGCUCUGCAGAAAAAAGAAAACCAAAUAUAUAGCUAAUCCCACAUCACCCUCCUAAGUCUGCAGCCUGCGACCAUGUGAUCAGAUAAGAAAUGAGUGGGAGGCAGGAGGAGGACAAAGAAAAGAAGACAUGCUGAAGGAACUGUUGAGAGGGAGUAGCAUAGACAAAUCAGAGAAGCAACAGGUGAUCUCACAUUUAAUAUCACAGAGGCCGGCUCAGCUUUAAUGUACUUUAAAGUAAGCAUUCAAAAAAUGUUUGAAAUGUUACCAAACUGAAAAUAUCAUCAUAUCAAUAUGUUGUUGUUAGGCUCAAAAUAAACAUGGUCACUCUCUGGUAUUCAGGUAACAAAACAGCUGUUCAACCUGUAAUACCUUGUGCUAGCUUACUCAUAUGAUGGCCCAGAAUGUUGGGAGUCAACAGUGGUUGUCUAUUUUGUCUAUUUCUCUGUUGACGAUCUUAUUUAGGGUUUGACAACAGGUGUGGUGUGUUAGUUUGGGGAUUAGCUCCAUGGUUACAAAGCAUUUCCUUAUGUGACAGAGGUGCCAUUUAUGUCCAAUCCCAAACUCAGUACUCAUACUUGCUGACUUUGGUGCCUGCAAGUAUGUGAGUGUGUGAGGGCUCUAAUGCAGACUUCAGGAUGUCAAACUGCAUCCUGUGAGUGUUCAGAAUUGAGGACUAUACUAUGGACAACUUGGUUCCGUCUUCCGCCAGUAUACGGAUUUAAAGCCGAAAAGCUCCCGGUAUUUCCAUGUUUUUUCGCGGUGUUCUGUGUAAUAAAUUUCUUAAGUUUGUCCACAGCUCCAUAGGGAUUGCUGGAGGAGGCGGGAUUUUAUGACCUAUACUGCAGCCCGUCACCAGAGGGUGCUGUUCUCGCGGUGGCUUCACCCAGCGAGGAGGCAGAUGCUGUCCAUUCUUUAUAAAGUCUAUGUUCAAUACACCAGGGGAAAAAAAACUCUAUGUAAACAAAGCAAAUGUACAAAUAAGCAUAAAUAUACUAACAAAUAUACACUUGUUGCGCACUUGUUUAAAGACAGUGUGUGUUGUCAAACCAAUGAUAAACGCAUUUCCUGUUUAAAGACAGAGUUUGAGUUACCAAAUUCAUAACUGUAGGUUUGUUGGAGCUAGAAUCUGUAUUAGAAACUCACUCACAGAGCAGUAUCACUCACAUAAAUCCAAAGCUACAACCUGAUUAGCUUGAAACAAAGAGUGUGAAGUACUACAUGUGUCCUCAACUGACAGGACUAAGGUCAAGAUUAAGUAGGAAACGACUGAGGUAGAUAUUGUUCUUCCUACAAUGAUUUUCACAUUAAGAAUAAAGAAUAAAUUGUCAUGUUUUGCACACAUUAAGUCGAACAAAACUAUAAUUUGAGUUUCUCUCAAGGAUCACAAUUUCUUCAAGGAGUCUUGUAGACAAAGACAGACUGAUAAUCAUCUCAGCGUGAUCUGAGGAAGCAGAUGAGCACCGACUGUGCGGCCAUUUGUCUCUACAUGUGGUCAGGGUUUAUGCGGACGAUAACACGCUGUGCUAGCCUUUCACCAAAUCAAGUUUUUUUUUUUACAUGAGAUCAGAGGACCAUUAUCAUAAAAGUCCUGAUCCCUCUCUGUUCCCAGUCCUUCCAGGUUUAUUUUACACUAGCUGGUGUGACAAGAGCUCUGCAGAAACUAACUGAAAUACCACCAGAUCAUUUUAACCACUGGUGCCUGGAGUAAAUAUGUAACUAGAGGCAUUGAUUAAUACGUGUAUUAAUUACCUCAGAGGACUGGAGGCAGGGAAACACUGUAGAUGGACCUCUAGUCUGUAAGGCAACAUUUAAAAAAUCAAAGUGUUCUAGACGGAGAGAGAAAAAAUUAGACACAUUGAGCGAAGACCAUUGCUAUCACCACCAUCACACCUAAUCCCCCAAAACAGGCGGUCUGAUUCCCAUCUGUGCCUCUCACGGCUCUGUGACCAAUCAAUAUGUUUAAGCCCUCUGCCUUCGGCCCACUGUGAUUGAAUAAAUAAACCCUUAGCAAGAGGGCUGCUCAUUCUCUGCCUAAAAGUCAUGAAAUUGGCUUCGGCUGUGAGGAGGCAUGGAGGAGUUUUCUGUCUGCCAGGAACCAGCACGCUGUAAAAAUCCUCGAGUUUGUUAUAAAACUAUUAACAUAAUGAAAGACUUAGUGGAGUGUGGCAUACAGUGGAUCCAUCAUUUUUAAUGAAAUAGCUAUCAGCUGAUGCUGGGUAUGAGACAAAAGGGAGGGCAGAUGAGAUUAAAAUGAACAAUAGUCGAGGAUUGUAAAAGCAAAGCCAUGGUGUUAAUUGGUGAGAUGAUAAUUUAGUUCCUCAAAUUGCAUGAAUAUUGUUUGUACACAUAGUAAAAACUGCUUAAAUUGCAUGAAAUGGAAUAUUUGAUCAUGGUAACUCUUUACUUGAUGCCUAUCUCUAUAAUGCAUUAUAAAUAUAUGUAUAAUGCGUUAUAAUCAUGUUAUAACACUGUAUAACUAUAGUUAUAAACACUCAUAAAUAAUCAUAAUGCUUUAUAGCAAUAAUCAUAACACAUCAUAAAGCAUUUUAACAUGACUUACAAGGUCUGGUAUUAUAAUGUGUUAUGCUUAUUGUUAUAAAGCCUUAUAAUAAUUAAUGAGUGUUUAUAAUGAUAGUUAUACAAGUUUAUAAGCAAAUUAUAACACAUCAUAAAUAUAUGUAUAAUGCAUGAUCUAUGUGGGCAUUGUCAGUGAGUUGUUAUAAUACCAGAUCAUUUAUGAGUGUUUAUAACUAUAGUUAUACAGUGCUAUAAUGUGAUUAUAAUGCAUUAAAUAUAUAAUUAUAUGCGUUAUAGGGAUAGGCAUCAAAUAAAGUGUUACCAUGAUGAUUAAUAAUACUGAUUGCUAUAUGAAAUACCACUAGCCCUGAACCUGAAGUAUGAGGGUUUGCUGCUUUUUUGUUGUGUUUCCUUGUAAAUUGAUCAAUACUGAAAGAAAUUGUAAUGAUCAAAAUAGGGAUUACUACACAUAAAUCAAUGUUUUACCUGCUUCUUUAAAUCAAAGGACAAACAACAUUUCAACUGCACUCAGCACUGUCACAGAUAAGACUCUAGAAACCAGCUUCUGUAUUCCCUGUACUGAGGUAGAAUAGUGUUGGAGUUGAUAUUAAGGUGCAGGUACUCUACAUACCUUGUCAUCAGGAAUACCCAAAUGCUAUCAGCAACCAUAACCUGAGCCAGGAACUUCUUUUAGUGCUUACCCUCCUUGUGUCAGAAGCUUGUCUGAAAAUAAAAGCUACACAGCGUUAACAGAGCAGGCAAGCCAACAUCUUCUGCUCUGUAACUUUGAGAGCAAAGGGAGAUCAAUAAAGUGCAGUCCAUCCUAAUCUCUGUUCACCCAGUGAUUAUUAUCAGCUAUAAAGGCUCAAGCUGCAAACCAUCAAAGCAAAGAACUUCUACUGAAACCACAACAACAAAUACUCAGGAGAUUUAAGGCGUCCACUGAGCAACUUUGGAGUAGCUGACGCCUUAAAAAAGGUUAAAUAAAGAAGCUCAGAGGUGAUGUUGCAGUCAUUACGCAGAUGUAUAUUUGUUUUAUUGUUGUGCAGCCAAGUGAGCCAGUAUCUGAAUGCAGUUGUCGACAACCAGCACAGUUCAGCAAAGCCUACAUAAAGAGGAAGCUGCAAUCGAUAUGGGCUUUACGUCAGCAGGGGUCACAUCUGAAGACAAGGUAACAAGCUGGUAGUGAGCAACAAAAAGUUGCAUUUUCGUAGUAACUCUGAAAAUCUGGGGUUUGAGUGUGAGUAGGUCAGUACAAUCACAAGUGUUUACAAGGGAGGGAGCAGCAAUAGCGCUUGGCCUUAUGAGGUCGGCAUCAGAGGAUCAGAGACUGCAGGAGGGGAUAUGAGAUUAGCAGGUAGGUGAGGUCAGGGAGGAGCCAGGUCAUGGGGGACUUGUUAGUCAAGAGAAAGAAUAUGAACCGAAUGUGUUGUGGAACAGGCCAGUGAGGUUCAAGAGGACAGGGGUGAUGUAGUCAUGGGAGCAGGAGUGAGUGAGAAGAUGGGCAGCUGAAUUCUGAAUGCACUGGAGUUUACUGAAGACUUUGGAUGAUACUGUUACAAUUGUGUUUUGCUUUACUAGUGUUAGAUUUGUACUUUUCCACUGAACUCAUGCAAUUUAACAAAUGUUUCCACUACUUAUAGGUUGUUGCUAUUUAACCAGAACACUAUGACGUCUAACUUGAUGAGGAGGAACCUGAUGUGCCACAAGGCUCUCUUUGUUCUGUUGGACAGGUUUGCUCAGAGCCGGCCCAAGGCAUAAGCAAACUAAGCACCUGCUUAGUGCCCCGCAGCUAAUAGAAGGCCCCAAGAGCAAUCAAAAAAUAAAAGAAAUAAAAAAAAACAUAUAUUUUUUGCAUGUAUGAGUGAUGGUUUCUGUAUGAUCAAAUACGGUAUAUCUUUGUAAAAAUAAAAUAAAAACAUUUUAGUGCUGCUGCUGAUGCCGUUUUGCUACCGUUUUGCGCCUUCUGCUGUGCAAUGUGCACUGAGCAUCCAAAGCACAGGUGGUUGUUGGGCAAAACAAUGUUGCAAAAAAGGACAUAUCCUUCAGGAGCAGAGAAAAGAAAGAGGAAGAAAGAGGAAGAGGAGAAAAACACCAUGAUAAAGCUAUAUUUGAAUGUCAUGGAAUGUUAAUCAGAGAUUUGUGAAGGUGUGUGAAUGAUCAACAAAUAAUAUUAUUGGCAGAAAUCGAGGGCCUCAAAAUCAAAUUUUGCUUAGGGCCCAAUUGAGGCUCUGGGUUUGCUACAGUAGUUACACACCUCAAGGCCGACAACACACACACAUAUAUUUCAAGGCACAUUUUCAUAAGACUGUGUGAACAGUGGUUGGCCUGUUUACGUUAGAGAUAACUGGCCAAUGAUACUUGGUUGGGUUUAAGUCUAACCUCUGUCCAGGGCAAUCCCUGCCCAAGAAGAAAAACGUGAAUUGUUCCCAAAAAUGGAGAUCCUAGCAGCUCUGUCAUUGCGAGUCCAGCGCUGUACUUUUCAUGUGACCUAAAUAAAUGUUAUAUCAAUUAAGUUUCAAAUGCAGAGGUUGAGACAAAUGGAUAAUGAUAUGCUCAGGGUUUAAGGUGGUAAAAAUAAGAUUCUUAUGGUAUGAUUAAUAUCCUGUUAAAAAGGUGAAGUUGCUAUGACAUAAAGUUUGCAGAUGUAAGGAGACAAAGACCGAGUGAUAUUGUCAGUAGUGAGGUGGAAGUUUUGGGUUGUUUUGGAGGGGGACUUCAGAUAGAUUAUAAUAAUG